UGACACCCGUAAAGGGUCUGUGCUGAGGUGGAUUAGUAAAAGAGGAAAGCAUCUUGCAGUUGAGAUAGAGGAAAGCCACUGUCUCCUGCCUGCCCUGGGAACUGAAUGUCUCGGUAUAAAACCCGAUUGUACAUUUGUUCAAUUCUGAGAUAGGAGAAAAACCGCCCUACGGUGGGAGGCGAGACAUGUUUGCAGUAAUGCUGCCUUAUUAUUCUUUAUUCCGCUGAGAUGUUUGGGUGGAGAGAAACAUAAAUCUACGUUUAUGCACAUCCAGGCAUAGUACCUUCCCUUGAACUUAAUUAUGAUAUAGAUUCUUUUGCUCACAUGUUUUUUGCUGACCUUCUCCUUAUUAUCACCCUGCUCUCCUACUACAUUCCUUUUUGCUGAAAUAAUGAAAAUAAUGCAGGCCACCCCUUCAUAAAAGCAUUCCUAUUUCUCCACAUCCUCUCCAGCAUCUGUGGUUUCCAGACUUUUUAAUGAUUGCCAUUUUAACUGGCAUGAGAGGGUAUCUCAUUGCGGUUUUGAUUUGCAUUUCUCUAAUGACCAGUGAUGAUGAGCUUUUUUUGCUCUGUUUUUUGGCCACAUAAAUGUCUUCUUUUGAGAAGUGUCUUUCAUAUCCUUUGCGCACUUUUUGAUGGGGUUGUUUUUUUCUUGUGAAUUUUGUUUAGGUUCUUUGUAGAUUCGCGAUAUUAGCCCUUUGUCAGAUGGAUAGAUCGCAAAAAUUUUCUCCCAUUCUGUAGGUUGCCUGUUCACUCUGAUGACAGUUUCUUUUGCUCUGCAGAAGUUCU
rnacentral:lncRNA from 1 species